rnacentral:rRNA from 1 species
AGCGAACGCUGGCGGCAGGCUUAACACAUGCAAGUCGAGCGGGCACCUUUCGGGGUGUCAGCGGCGGACGGGUGAGUAACGCGUGGGAACGUGCCCUCUGGUUCGGAAUAACUCAGGGAAACUGGAGCUAAUACCGGAUACGCCCUUUUGGGGAAAGGCUUGCUGCCGGAGGAUCGGCCCGCGUCUGAUUAGCUAGUUGGUGAGGUAACGGCUCACCAAGGCGACGAUCAGUAGCUGGUCUGAGAGGAUGAUCAGCCACACUGGGACUGGGACACGGCCCAGACUCCUACGGGAGGCAGCAGUGGGGAAUAUUGGACAAUGGGCGCAAGCCUGAUCCAGCCAUGCCGCGUGAGUGAUGAAGGCCUUAGGGUUGUAAAGCUCUUUUAUCCGGGACGAUAAUGACGGUACCGGAGGAAUAAGCCCCGGCUAACUUCGUG